CCUACGGGUGGCAGCAGUGGGGGAUAUUGCACAAUGGGGGAAACCCUGAUGCAGCGACGCCGCGUGGGUGAAGAAGCGCCUCGGCGCGUAAAGCCCUGUCAGCAGGGAAGAAAAUGACGGUACCUGAAGAAGAAGCCCCGGCUAAAUACGUGCCAGCAGCCGCCGUAAUACGUAGGGGGCAAGCGUGAUCCGGAUGUACUGGGUGUAAAGGGGGCGCAGCCGGCGAUGCAAGCCAGGAGUGAAAGCCCGGGGCCCAACCCCGGGACUGCUCUUGGAACUGCGUGGCUAGAGUGCAGGAGGGGCAGGCGGAAUUCCUGGUGUAGCGGUGAAAUGCGUAGAUAUCAGGAGGAACACCGGUGGCGAAGGCGGCCUGCUGGACUGCAACUGACGUUGAGGCCCGAAAGCGUGGGGAGCAAACAGGAUUAGAUACCCUUGUAGUC
rnacentral:rRNA from 1 species